rnacentral:piRNA from 1 species
GGUGAGUUUGGCUGCUAGGGUGGA